rnacentral:rRNA from 1 species
GAUGAACGCUGGCGGCGUGCCUAAUACAUGCAAGUCGAGCGAACGGACGAGAAGCUUGCUUCUCUGAUGUUAGCGGCGGACGGGUGAGUGACACGUGGAUAACCUACCUAUAAGACUGGGAUAACUUCGGGAAACCGGAGCUAAUACCGGAUGAUAUUUUGAACCGCAUGGUUCAAAAGUGAAAGACGGUCUUGCUGUCACUUAUAGAUGGAUCCGCGCUUCAUUAGCUAGUUGGUAAGGUAACGGCUUACCAAGGCAACGAUGCAUAGCCGACCUGAGAGGGUGAUCGGCCACACUGGAACUGAGACACGGUCCAGACUCCUACGGGAGGCAGCAGUAGGGAAUCUUCCGCAAUGGGCGAAAGCCUGACGGAGCAACGCCGCGUGAGUGAUGAAGGUCUUCGGAUCGUAAAACUCUGUUAUUAGGGAAGAACAUAUGUGUAAGUAACUGUGCACAUCUUGACGGUACCUAAUCAGAAAGCCACGGCUAACUACGUG